GACGAACGCUGGCGGCGUGCUUAACACAUGCAAGUCGAACGAUGAAGCUGGAGCUUGCUCCGGUGGAUUAGUGGCGAACGGGUGAGUAACACGUGAGCAAUCUGCCCUUGACUCUGGGAUAACUGCGGGAAACUGUAGCUAAUACCGGAUACGAGGCUCGAAGGCAUCUUCGGGUCUGGAAAGAAUUUCGGUCAAGGAUGAGCUCGCGGCCUAUCAGCUUGUUGGGGAGGUAAUGGCUCACCAAGGCGACGACGGGUAGCCGGCCUGAGAGGGUGACCGGCCACAAUGGGACUGAGACACGGCCCAGACUCCUACGGGAGGCAGCAGUGGGGAAUAUUGCAAAAUGGGCGAAAGCCUGAUGCAGCAACGCCGCGUGAGGGAUGAAGGCCUUCGGGUUGUAAACCUCUUUUAGCAGGGAAGAAGCGAAAGUGACGGUACCUGCAGAAAAAGCACCGGCUAACUACGUGCCAGCAGCCGCCGUAA
rnacentral:rRNA from 1 species